GAUGAACGCUGGCGGCGUGCCUAAUACAUGCAAGUCGAGCGAACAGACGAGGAGCUUGCUCCUCUGACGUUAGCGGCGGACGGGUGAGUAACACGUGGAUAACCUACCUAUAAGACUGGGAUAACUUCGGGAAACCGGAGCUAAUACCGGAUAAUAUAUUGAACCGCAUGGUUCAAUAGUGAAAGACGGUUUUGCUGUCACUUAUAGAUGGAUCUGCGCCGCAUUAGCUAGUUGGUAAGGUAACGGCUUACCAAGGCGACGAUGCGUAGCCGACCUGAGAGGGUGAUCGGCCACACUGGAACUGAGACACGGUCCAGACUCCUACGGGAGGCAGCAGUAGGGAAUCUUCCGCAAUGGGCGAAAGCCUGACGGAGCAACGCCGCGUGAGUGAUGAAGGUCUUCGGAUCGUAAAACUCUGUUAUUAGGGAAGAACAAAUGUGUAAGUAACUAUGCACGUCUUGACGGUACCUAAUCAGAAAGCCACGGCUAACUACGU
rnacentral:rRNA from 1 species